GACGAACGCUGGCGGCGUGCCUAAUACAUGCAAGUCGAGCGAGCUUGCCUAGAUGAAUUUGGUGCUUGCACCAAAUGAAACUAGAUACAAGCGAGCGGCGGACGGGUGAGUAACACGUGGGUAACCUGCCCAAGAGACUGGGAUAGCACCUGGAAACAGAUGCUAAUACCGGAUAACAACACUAGACGCAUGUCUAGAGUUUAAAAGAUGGUUCUGCUAUCACUCUUGGAUGGACCUGCGGUGCAUUAGCUAGUUGGUAAGGUAACGGCUUACCAAGGCAAUGAUGCAUAGCCGAGUUGAGAGACUGAUCGGCCACAUUGGGACUGAGACACGGCCCAAACUCCUACGGGAGGCAGCAGUAGGGAAUCUUCCACAAUGGACGCAAGUCUGAUGGAGCAACGCCGCGUGAGUGAAGAAGGGUUUCGGCUCGUAAAGCUCUGUUGGUAGUGAAGAAAGAUAGAGGUAGUAACUGGCCUUUAUUUGACGGUAAUUACUUAGAAAGUCACGGCUAACUACGUGCCAGCAGCCGCGGUAAUACGUAGGUGGCAAGCGUUGUCCGGAUUUAUUGGGCGUAAAGCGAGUGCAGGCGGUUCAAUAAGUCUGAUGUGAAAGCCUUCGGCUCAACCGGAGAAUUGCAUCAGAAACUGUUGAACUUGAGUGCAGAAGAGGAGAGUGGAACUCCAUGUGUAGCGGUGGAAUGCGUAGAUAUAUGGAAGAACACCAGUGGCGAAGGCGGCUCUCUGGUCUGCAACUGACGCUGAGGCUCGAAAGCAUGGGUAGCGAACAGG
rnacentral:rRNA from 1 species